AUCCUUGUAGCGCAAUGGAUAGCGCAUUGGACUUCUAAUAUAACGGUUGUGGGUUCGAAUCCCACCUGGGAUG